CAUGGAGGGUGAGAAUCCCGUUCAUGGUUAAUUCUAAGAUGCUUUAUGAUGCGUUUUCGAAGAGUCGAGUUGUUUGGGAUUGCAGCUCAAAAUGGGAGGUAAAUUUCUCCUAAGGCUAAAUAUUGGCGAGAGACCGAUAGCGAACAAGUACCGUGAGGGAAAGAUGAAAAGAACUUUGAAAAGAGAGUUAAACAGUACGUGAAAUUGUUGAAAGGGAAACGAUUGAAGUCAGUCGUACCAGCGGGAAAUCAACCUUUCGAGUGGGGGUUUUGGAGUUUUGAAGUGUGUCAAAACCUUCGAGAUUUCAAAAUUUUCGCUCUUUUGGUGUACUUUCUCGUAGGUAGGUUAACAUCGAUUUUGAUCAUCAUAAAAGGGUUGGAGGAAUGUAGCUUCGAUCUCGUAUUGAAGUGUUAUAGCCUUUGAUAAAUGUGAUGAUUAGGAUCGAGGAUUGCAACGAAUACCCUUUUGGGCUAUCCGCCUGAUCUCUGAUACGUGGCCUUGGUAUUGAAAGCGUGCUUAUGAUAUUAAGGUAUUACGGUCAAAAGGUUAGAACGGAUUACAUUCGUUAAGGAUGUUGACGUAAUGG
rnacentral:rRNA from 1 species